rnacentral:rRNA from 1 species
CUACGGGCGGCUGCAGUUAGGAAUAAUCUACAAUGCGCGCAAGCGUGAUAGUUUGAGUCGGAGUGCGUUUCAAUUUGGAAUGCUUUUGUGAAAUUUAAAACGUUUUACGAAUAAGGACUGGGUAAGACUAGUGCCAGCCGCCGCGGUAAUACUAGCGGUCCAAGUCGCAGCCAUUUUUAUUGGGUCUAAAACAUCCGUAGCUUGCUUAGAAAGUUCCCGGUGAAAUUCCAUAUCUCAAAUAUGGAGCGAGCGGGGAGUACUGCUACAGCUAGAGACUGGAAGACGUAAGAAGUACGUUCGAAGUAGUGGUAAAAUAUGUUAAUCUCGGACGGACUCACAACAGCGAAGGCAUCUUACGAGGACAGUUCUGACAGUAAGGGAUGAAGGCUAGGGGCGCAAAACGGAUUAGAUACCCCGGUAGUC